GACGAACGCUGGCGGCGUGCUUAACACAUGCAAGUCGAACGGAAAGGCCCUGCUUUUGUGGGGUGCUCGAGUGGCGAACGGGUGAGUAACACGUGAGUAACCUGCCCUUGACUUUGGGAUAACUUCAGGAAACUGGGGCUAAUACCGGAUAGGAGCUCCUGCCGCAGGGUGGGGGUUGGAAAGUUUCGGCGGGUGGGGAUGGACGCGCGGCUUAUCAGCUUGUUGGUGGGGUAGUGGCUUACCAAGGCUUUGACGGGUAGCCGGCCUGAGAGGGUGACCGGCCACAUUGGGACUGAGAUACGGCCCAGACUCCUACGGGAGGCAGCAGUGGGGAAUAUUGCACAAUGGGCCGAAGCCUGAUGCAGCAACGCCGCGUGCGGGAUGACGGCCUUCGGGUUGUAAACCGCUUUCGCCUGUGACGAAGCGUGAGUGACGGUAAUGGGUAAAGAAGCACCGGCUAACUACGUG
rnacentral:rRNA from 1 species